UACGUAGGGUGCGAGCGUUACUCGGAAUUACUGGGCGUAAAGCGUGCGCAGGCGGUUUUGUAAGUCUGUCGUGAAAUCCCCGGGCUCAACCUGGGAAUUGCGAUGGAGACUGCAAGGCUAGAGUUUGGCAGAGGGGGGUAGAAUUCCACGUGUAGCAGUGAAAUGCGUAGAGAUGUGGAGGAACACCGAUGGCGAAGGCAGCCCCCUGGGUCAAAACUGACGCUCAUGCACGAAAGCGUGGGGAGCAAACAGG
rnacentral:rRNA from 1 species